UACGUAGGGGGCAAGCGUUGUCCGGAAUCAUUGGGCGUAAAGAGCGCGUAGGCGGUCUGGUAAGUCCGCUCUGAAAGCCCGGGGCUCAACCCCGGGAGGCGGGCGGAUACUGUCGGGCUAGAGUCCGGAAGAGGCGAGUGGAAUUCCUGGUGUAGCGGUGAAAUGCGCAGAUAUCAGGAGGAACACCGAUGGCGAAGGCAGCUCGCUGGGACGGUACUGACGCUGAGGCGCGAAAGCGUGGGGAGCAAACAGG
rnacentral:rRNA from 1 species